CCCCAUGUCUCUACUGUCCGGGAUUCAUCUCAUCAUUUCCUGCCCUGGUUUUUCAUGCAAGAAAAAGAAUACCUUCCCCAGAUCCUCUUCUUGGGAAAAGGAGAAGAAAAACACACAUCUGUCUAACCAAAGUGUGCAUACCUGCUCUUACUUCCAAAUCGUGAAGUAAAUCUCUUGAGGACAAAGACCAUAUCUCAUUCUUCUCUGCAAGCUCAGCAUUUAGCACAGUGCCUGUUACAAGGAGCCAAGUUGCCCUGAAGAUCAUGAACUUGUCUUCUGACCACUGCAACAUAUCGGACUGGCUGAGGCUGGAAGCAACAGUGAAGGCCUCUGUGUAUGUGGUGGCCUUCUUCUUUGCCACAUUCGUCACCGUCGUCAUCAUCACAAUAGUGUUACAGAAUUCGAAGCUGAGGAGAGAGGUCCGACACAUCCUCCUGUGCCACCAUCUGCUAUGCAUCUCCUCCUACUGUGGCCUCGGGGUGGUUUUCCAAGGGAUGCGGGCUCUGCUGGCCAACAGCCCCGUGCUGGUGUGCUGGGUGGUAUUUGGGGUCCAGCUAAGUGUUGGAGAAGGGAUCCUCUUUACGCUGGCCUUGAUGGCGGUCAACACUUACCUGGCUGUUUGCUGGCCUUUGAAAUCUCUGUCCUUGGUAGAUUCAGUUAAGUACAGGAUCUUGGCUGCGUCUUGGAUAAUCAUUAUAUUCAAGAAUGUUUGCUUAUUCCUCAUAGAAAGCGCUAACCCCCCUCGAGUUGCUGUUUUUAAAUCUGAACCCCUGUGCCCUGUGAUCUUGAAUGGCCCUCCUGCCAGAGCCGUUGGCAUGGUUUUCCUUUUCUUUCUUCUGUCCAUCAUUCUUAUAAGUUACUUUCUGAUCUACCGAGAAGGCAAACGGGCUGGCCAUUUUAAUAGAUCAAAUAUCAAAGCAAAAAAAACAGUCCUUAUUCAUUUAGUGCAGAUGAGUUUGCAUGUAAUACCAAUCCUGAUAUUCAUAGGUUUGGGAAAGAUGUGUGGGGUGUUUUUCUUUGCUUUAAACCUGGUACUUUUUGGAGUCUUUGCAUUUGCACAGUGUCUUAACCCCCUGAUCUAUGGGCUCUGGAACAGAGAGCUGCAAAGCGGAUUA